rnacentral:lncRNA from 1 species
GGGCCUAAUGUAAUCACAGGCGUCCUUAUAAGAGGGAGCCAGGAGCAUCAGUCAGUCCUGAGAGAUAGGACUCAGCAGCUUAGAGUAGCACAGGGAAGGAGCCACGAGCCAAGGAAUACAAGGGGCCUUCAGAGCGGAAAAAGUCAAGGACACAAUUCUUCCCUGAAGCCUCCGGAAAGAAUGCAGCCCCACUGGCACCUUGACUGUAGACUUCUGACCUUCAGAACUCAAUGUAUGAGAGUUCCUGUUGCUCUGUUUCCUUGACAGCAUCUGAUGUUAUCAGAGUUUUGCAUUUUGGCCAUUCUAAGAGGUGGAAGCAUAAAUCUGACCCAUUACUCCAUCUUUACUGGAAACAGAAGUCUAUCUAAUAGCACUUUUUUUAAUUUGAAGAAUUAAAGUAGAUGAUAAGGAAACGUGUUAUUCGUUAUGGCCACAUAUCUUCUCAUGAACUGGUAGAUUAAGAACCAUGCUCCUAAGAUGUGAAAUAUUUUGGCUACCAUUAAAAUUAAGAAAGGCAAUAGACAUAACUUGAACUAAUUUGAAGAAAGCCAAGACUUUUAUAAGACUACAUUUCUAAACUUAAAAGACAGUGUAGUGUGUCAAAGGGUGAAAUUCCUAACAGUGUGAAGUGGUGGCUUUAGCCAUUGAAGCAGCAUGGUAUCCUGAAGAUUGUCUUGUCAUGCUGGAAGGUCAGGUUCCAAAGGCUCACUAGAGAGGUUUCUCCCCACAGAGAAGGAAAGAAAGAGUGGCAGAAGUUUUCUGCACACUGUGAAGGUGACUUUGUUCUCAGUGUGAGAGCAGGGUGGUCACAGCUCUCUCAGCUGAACUUGCUGUAAGCCUAUCUAUAAUGCCUAGGCAGGGGGCGGAAAGGUGGGUUGGCUGUGGCCUUUUCUGCCCCCUCAUGACCUGAUAGCAUGAGUCUAGUGCUGACCAAAAUAAAGGAAAGAAGGACAAGGGACAAGAAAAA